GGCUCAGAACGAACGCUGGUAGCGUGGAUUAGGCAUGCAAGUCGAACGGGAUCGGCUGGGUUAGCAAUAAUCCGGCGUGAGAGUGGCGGAUUGGGGAGGAACACGUGAGCAACCUGCCUUGGAGUCGGGGAAAACCGUUGGAAACGACGGCUAAUACCGGAUGUGGCGCCCCGUGACAUCACGGGAGCGCUAAAGGGGGCCGCAAGGCUCCCGCUCGUAGAGGGGCUCGCGCACCAUCAGCUUGUUGGCGGGGUAACGGCCCACCAAGGCGUACGGUUAGCUGGUCUGAGAGGAUGACCAGCCCCACUGGGACUGAGAUACUGCCCAGACUCCUACGGGAGGCUGCAGUCGAGGAUCAUUUGCAAUGGGCGAAAGCCUGACAAUGCGACGCUGCGUGGAGGAUGAAGGCCUUCGGGUUGUAAACUCCUGUCAUGGGGGAACAGGCGAGGGGAGUUAAUACCUCCCUUAGUUGAGUGUACCCCAAGAGGAAUUGGCGGCUAACUCUGUGCCAGCCGCGGC
rnacentral:rRNA from 1 species